GUGGGGAAUUUUGCGCAAUGGGGGAAACCCUGACGCAGCGACGCCGCGUGGAGGAUGAAGGCCCUUGGGUCGUAAACUCCUGUCAGGUGGGAAGAAAAGCCUUCGGUAAACAGCCGAGGGUCUUGACUGUACCACCGGAGGAAGCCCCGGCUAACUCCGUGCCAGCAGCCGCGGUAAUACGGAGGGGGCAAGCGUUGUUCGGAAUCAUUGGGCGUAAAGGGCGCGUAGGCGGCCGAACAAGUCGGGUGUGAAAUCCCUCGGCUCAACCGAGGAACUGCACUCGAUACUGUUUGGCUAGAGUCCGGGAGGGGAUGGUGGAAUUCCCAGUGUAGCGGUGAAAUGCGUAGAUAUUGGGAAGAACACCGGUGGCGAAGGCGGCCAUCUGGACCGGCACUGACGCUGAGGCGCGAAAGCCAGGGGAGCGAAUGGGAUUAGAAACCCCAGUAGUCC
rnacentral:rRNA from 1 species